rnacentral:misc_RNA from 1 species
GACCACUCAAGCACUGCUUGGUAUUGAGGCCCGCUCCUGAGCGGCCUCUAAACUCAGUGGCGGUGCCGUUGGGCUCUCAGCGUAGUAAUUCUUCUCGCUACAGGGUCUUGCGGUUGCUUGCCAUAACCCCAACUUCUUUUAA